rnacentral:rRNA from 1 species
GAUGAACGCUGGCGGUAUGCUUAACACAUGCAAGUCGAACGGGGUGCUUCGGCACCUAGUGGCGGACGGGAGAGUAACGCGUGAGAAUCUGGCCUCAGGUUCGGGACAACCACUGGAAACGGUGGCUAAUACCGAAUGUGCCUCAGGGUGAAAGAUUAAUUGCCUGAGGAUGAGCUCGCGUCUGAUUAGCUAGUUGGUGGGGUAAGGGCCUACCAAGGCGUCGAUCAGUAACUGGUCUGAGAGGAUGACCAGUCACACUGGGACUGAGACACGGCCC